rnacentral:lncRNA from 10 species
CGAGAACAAAACUCCGUCUCAAAAAAACAUUGCUGCCCACUGUGUGCCAGGCACAGGGGUAGAGGUGAUACGUAUUUGUGAUAAUACGUACUACCAGUUCUCUGCCUGUCUUACUAAAUAAAAAGGAAGAAUAAUAGCUCAUGUUUCUUGGACCCUUACUGUGUGUCCAGCACCAUGCUAAACAUUUAACUCAUAUAACUCAUUUAAUCCUCCCAGCCACCCUGUAAUCUGUGUUCUCUUAUUAUCUGUGUUCUAUCAAUGUGAGUCCAGAGGCACUGAAAGGUUAAAGAACCUGCCCUUGGUCAUACAGUAGAAUAUACAGUAGAACCUGCCCCAGGUCUAGCCAAGGAAAGGAGGCAGAUCAAAUCCCAGAAUGGCACUGUGGAACAUAGGCUCCUGGCCACCAUGUGUUAGAUAAUGGGUGCUCCACUGCUCAGUGCCCACAGCUAUCAUUCACCUCCCUAGGGUUCAGUGACUCCUCACUAAAUGCUGGUGGCAAAGUCUCAAGAGUUACCUUUCCUGAACCAAAAAUAAUUGCUUCAGGAUUCUGCCUCAGUUGCUUUGCCUGUAGAGAUUGGGUUUCCAGUGUUUAUUUCUUUUGUAGAGUUUCUUAUUAUGGAAUGAUGUUCUGUCUUUGCUGUAGAUUCAGAUGAGGAGAUACUUCCCAUUAAUGACCACAGAUGGCCAGUGUA